AAAGUUUUUUUUCUUGUGCCAAGAACUUUUAAGAUAUAAUGUCUUAGCAACUUUCAAAUAUACAGUACAGUAUUAUUAACUCUAAGGAUAUAUAUACCAUUGGUAUAUUUUUCGUAAGUUCCCCAGGUAGCCUGACACAGCACCUGUUGGCAGACCCUGGUUUGGGAAGUUACCUUGCAGCGGCCAGAUCUGAGUUACCCUUUUCCAAAUGCCAUUGUCUCACUUGACUCUUGCCUCACUCUUCUCUCCUUCCGGAAAUUCUCCUUUGGCUUCCAGGGGGCCCCUGUGAUAUGAUAAGCAAAUGAACUAAAGCCUGAAAAACCAUGUGAGUGGACUUGGAAUAGCAUCCUGCAGCCUCACCUGAGUCCUGGGACGACUGCAGCCCUCGUGGACAGCUUGCCUGCAAUCUCAUCACAGACCUUGAACCACAACCGCUCAGCUAAGCUACUUACAUAUCCCUGACCCACACAAACUAUGAAAUAAUAAAUUUUUGCUGUUUUAAGCUGUUAUAUUUGGGGGUAAUUUGUUAUGCAGCCAAAUAAUAACUCAUACAAAAGGAAAUAAGAUCCUAGAGUUAGUGCGGUGGAAUCACAUCAUUUGCACUUUUAGGUAAAUUCAACCAUACUCUGCAAAAGAGGGAGAGAGAACAAGUUACAGUGUUAACGAUUCUGCCUGCUACUCCAAUGAAAUAAGGGGAUGUGGUGAAAGAGGUAGAUCUGGUUUCAUUAGUCAGUCUCUGACCCAGUCCUGGGCAUCUCUCAUGGAGAAGAAAGUCUUAAUGCACAUUUUUAAAUAUCCAUGUUUUGUACAAAGUGGGAAGAAUAAGUUAAUUCACUGACUUGGGAUCUAUAUAUAACAUAGUCAAAAUGACCCUUGAAAUCCCUUAACUCAUCAGGACCCGAGCCCAGGACAUCCCCAAACCAAGAAUAGUACUGACUUUAGACCAGUGUAAGAGGGAGCCCAACCCUGGGACCCUGGCUUCAGAAGACCCUUCCAUGGCCCUCCUCCAAUCACACCUCCCACGGGCUAAGGAGUCCCCAAGGGAUGUGCCCUUCCAGAGCCUGUGCUCUGCCUCCCACUUCUAGACCAAUCUCAGGGGAUGAGAGACCCCCACAUCCCUGUCCAAAUGGCCCUGAGCUCACUUCCAGGGCCAGCAUAGGACUUUCCCCAGGUCCAGCUUUCUAAGGGUGGGUCAUAGCACUAAAGAGCCAUGCCAGGGCACAGGGAGACCAGGUGCAGCUGUUUAAAGGGAUGUGGGUAGAUUGUGUGUGCAAGCCGAGUGGCCUACACACGUGCACAGAGCCCCUCGCCACACAGACGGACCAGCAGCGGAAAACCAAGAGGGAAGCCCACGGACCCCAAGCUGGCUCUCCAAAUGCUGCCUCGUGCUGGUGUAUGACUCUGAGAAGUCUCACUUGACCUGUCCUUCCUGUCAAAUGAAUCAAAUGAAUAUUUGACGGGAAUAUUUGUCAAGGCAGGAAGACAAAAUAUAUUUCAUUAAACAGUGCAUUCACUCAAUUUGUAACUUUUACAUGUUUAGACAUAUUACAUAUGGAUGUCCAUUUGUACUCUAGCCCAGGGUCCCACAAAUGAUUGGGAUGCCCUGGCCCAGAGCUAACUUCUUCAUCUUUAUUUUGUUUCACUUUUUAGUUUUCGACUCUUUUUGCCUGAGAGAGUGGAGUCCAAGGCAUUAUUUGAGUGGGAGAGGAGAGCAAUGGGAUAAGGACAACUCCGUAUGACAGAUAAAGUAGCAUUACCUCCAUUUCACAUAUUGGAAAAGAGAGGCACAGAGCGACCUGAGAGUGCUAAGACCCCAGAUCUUCAAGCCCUCGUACUGUGACCCUGGAACCACAGCCACACGAGUUCAUGUGUGUGAAAGUAAAUUGAAAACUGUAAUGUGUUAUUCCAAUCAAAGGUGUUCCUUAGCACUC